rnacentral:rRNA from 1 species
CAGCCGCCGCGGGAAUACGGAGGGUGCAAGCGUUAAUCGGAAUUACUGGGCGUAAAGCGCACGCAGGCGGUUUGUUAAGUCAGAUGUGAAAUCCCCGAGCUUAACUUGGGAACUGCAUUUGAAACUGGCAAGCUAGAGUCUUGUAGAGGGGGGUAGAAUUCCAGGUGUAGCGGUGAAAUGCGUAGAGAUCUGGAGGAAUACCGGUGGCGAAGGCGGCCACCUGGACAAAGACUGACGCUCAGGUGCGAAAGCGUGGGGAGCAAACAGGAUUAGAUACCCCUGUAGUCCCUGUCUCUUAUAC